AGUGAACGCUGGCGGUAGGCCUAACACAUGCAAGUCGAACGGCAGCACAGUAAGAGCUUGCUCUUACGGGUGGCGAGUGGCGGACGGGUGAGGAAUACAUCGGAAUCUACUUUUUCGUGGGGGUUAACGUAGGGAAACUUACGCUAAUACCGCAUACGCCCUACGGGUGAAAGCAGGGGAUCUUCGGACCUUGCGCGAUUGAAUGAGCCGCUGUCGGAUUAGCUAGUUGGCGGGGUGAAGGCCCACCCAGGCGACGAUCCGUAGCUGGUCUGAGAGGAUGAUCAGCGACACUGGAACUGAGACACGGUCCAUACUCCUACGGGAGGCAGCAGUGGGGAAUAUUGGACAGUGGGCGCAAGCCUGAUCCAGCCAGACCGCGUGGGUGAAGAAGGCCUUCGGGUUGUAAAGCCCUUUUGUGGGGAAAGAAAAGCAGCAGGUUAAUACCCCGCUGUUCUGACGGUACCCAAAGAAUAAGCACCGGCUAACUUCGUG
rnacentral:rRNA from 1 species